GACGAACGCUGGCGGCGUGCCUAAUACAUGCGAGUCGAACGAACCGCGACUAGGUGCUUGCACUUGGUCAAGGUGAGUGGCGAACGGGUGAGUAACACGUGGGUAACCUACCUCAUAGUGGGGGAUAACAGUCGGAAACGACUGCUAAUACCGCAUAGGACAUGGGAUCACAUGAUUCUGUGAGGAAAGGUGGCGCAAGCUAUCGCUAAGAGAUGGACCCGCGGUGCAUUAGCUAGUUGGUAGGGUAACGGCCUACCAAGGCGAUGAUGCAUAGCCGACCUGAGAGGGUGAUCGGCCACAUUGGGACUGAGACACGGCCCAAACUCCUACGGGAGGCAGCAGUAGGGAAUCUUCCGCAAUGGACGCAAGUCUGACGGAGCAACGCCGCGUGAGUGAAGAAGGUCUUCGGAUCGUAAAGCUCUGUUGUUAGAGAAGAACAGCGCAUAGAGUAACUGUUAUGCGUGUGACGGUAUCUAACCAGAAAGCCACGGCUAACUACGUG
rnacentral:rRNA from 1 species